GCCCAGCCUGUGGGGGUGGCAGGGGCACAGAAGGGAAGCAGCGCCCUGCACACGAGCUUGUGUGCAGUCCCUGCUCACAUCUCCUUGGCUCUGGGAAGUCCUGGGUGAGCGACUGCAAAGCCUGGGGAUGGAGCAGGACUGGGACCUGGGGCUGCAGGCGGUUGCACCCCAGCCAACCCCUGGGGUCCACGCCCCCCCAUGCAGGACCAGAGUCAGGCCCAUCUGACUCAGAAGCCCGGUCUUGAGGGACCACGUGUUCCUGGAGGGUCUCAGGUUCUCCUUUGUCCCUCCCCGCUCGCAGCCCAGAGCUAGAGGCCCGUGGGCUCCAGGGACAGGGAGGGGGGUACAUCACCUGAGGUCCAAAGGUCACUGUGGGCUGACCGGUGCGGUGCGCUUGGCAAGUCCCUCGGGGAACACCCUGCCCUCCCGGGCUUCUGUCCUCACCUAUGUGAUUGAUGGGGAUGGGCUUAGUGAGUUGUGGAGGAACUUCCAGUCCAGGGCUUGGGGUCAGGGGGUCUUGGGGACAAAGAAAGAGAGACAGGAGAGUCUGGGAGACAGGCAAAGUCUCUGCCUCUAACAUUUGCCUCUUUCCAGAAGCUUCUACAGGCUUCCUUUAGUGGGGGUGGUGGGUGUGUGAUCUCCUUCUGUGACUCUGGUGACCUGACCAUUCACCUGGGCUGCUGGGCGAGUCCUUGGGAAGAACUUGGCCAGGGUCACGUUGGUCAAGCCGCUCUCCGCUCAGCCUGCUGUCCGGCCAUGCAGCUGGCCUCUGGGCGGGCCCCCACUUCCCUUCGCAGCUCGUCUCCCGCCCCUGCCCACCGGCAACCCCACGCCCCACCACGAAACAUCACAGCAGUGACCCCCCAAGGCCCGGGCAUGUCCCCGCACGUGCCUCCUCCUGGGCCCGCGAUGAGGUGUGAGGGAGGCAUCAGCCUUUCCAUGCGGAGCCAGCCGAAGCUCAGGGAGCCCGGGCGCCUCACUAGGCGGACUCAGUGUCUGAGCUUGAACCCAGGACUCCUGCCUCCAAGUGCGUGCUUGUCACACCCAACCACAAUUUCUCCGAACGUGCUCCAUCCACUAGUUCCACCACCUUCUCCUUCUGGAACUCCCUUCCAUCCCAAUCCCUCCUUGUUUUUCAAGGCGUGGCCCAAAUGUUGCCUCCCCCAGGCAGCCACCUUGGAUUCCUCCUCAGAUCUCCAGCCCCUCCCCCUGAAGCCUGCUGUUGCCUCUUACCCAUGACCUUGCUUCACCAUGGUCCUGGGAGGGAGGAGAGAUUAUGUUCCAGUGGCAGAGAUCGCGAGUCCCCCCCCCCCCCCAUUAUCCAUUCUCCUCUUUUCCUAAAGUAAAAGAACUCUGAAUUCCAGCGGGGCACACGGCCGCCCAUUCAAGUUCUCAGCCCCUUGCAGCUGCGUGUAGCUAUCUGGCCAGAUCCUUGCCAGUGACAUGUAAGAAGUGACCCAUGUAACUGCUGGGUCCUGUCCCCAGAGAAAAGAGCGGUGGCUUCCCUUUUUCCUUCUCCGUGUACCUACUGCUGGAUGUCAGUGGUGAUGGCAGGAGCUGGAGCAGCCACAUUGACUAUGGGGUGCAGGGUGGGUGUUGAGGAUCACAGAGCAGCAAGGUGGAAAGAACCUGGGUCACCAGCACAGCAGCAAGACUGCCGACGCACAGACCACGUCCCAAAGCAAGGGGCGAACCCUGCUGUCUUGUGUUAUCCAGUGUUUCGGGGGCAUUUGUUAAAGCUGCCAAAAUGUACCCUAAUCAGUAUGGAUCCAGAGAGCGGAGUUGGCCAACUGUUUGCAGGACGACUGAUGACUAGCCAGAGCUCUUGAAUUGGUCUGGGAACCUUUGGAAAUACCUGCAGAGGAGAAAGGAGAAUUUCCUUCCAGGAAGCUGUUCUUAAUCUCGCACAACUGCAGGUGCCCAAAGGUUGCCCACGCAUCCUUCUAGCCCCCCGUGCACCCCCGGGAGCGGUCCUGACUUGACCCUUUGCAGGAGGCCGGCCCCCCAGAGCCCUCUGCCCACCGGGCUGGGGCAGCCCAGUGCCCCCGCAGGCCAGCCCUUGUCCCCCAGGAACCUCCAGCGGCACCCAUGAAGACCUCGUUUCUGCCAGGUGGGGGCUGGGCGCUGGGACACACAGAUAACAUAGCCUCUGCCCCGGGGACUCCUGCCUCUGCAAACACAGUUUUUCACAAUAACUGGGUCAGUGGGCCACCAAAGGGAGGCGACGGGCCAGGCUGGCGGGCUCCAGACCCUGCGCCCCAGUCUUGCUCAGCCAGACUGCUAUGCUCGGAGGUGCUCCACUCACAGCACGUGGCAAGUGCAAAGCCCCUGAGGCCUUGAGGUAGGAACCGAUUUUGUCUCUGCCCCAGGA